AGGUGAUAACUGGUAAAGUGGUCUCUAUACCGAUGCAAAUUUCAGGGACUGAGAUUUCAGCUCUCCCUUGACACCAUUUGCGAGUAUGGUCAUGAGGAAACGAUGAUAGUCCGUCGGAAGGGAACGAUAAAUGGCCGACCCGUGUUAAAAGAGAGCCAUAUCUGUUGUACGUAAAAGACACCCUUUUGUAGGCUAAUGCCGCUACAAGGCAGCACCAGCACUCGCAAAGUGGAA
rnacentral:lncRNA from 1 species